rnacentral:lncRNA from 1 species
UGAGAAUGGACCGAGGAGUGUCUAUGCCCAACAUGUUGGAACCAAAGAUAUUUCCAUAUGAAAUGCUCAUGGUGACCAACAGAGGGCGAAACAAAAUCCUCAGAGAGGUGGACAGAACCAGGCUGGAGCGCCACUUAGCCCCUGAAGUGUUUCGGGAAAUCUUUGGAAUGUCCAUACAGGAGUUUGACAGGUUACCUCUUUGGAGACGCAACGACAUGAAGAAAAAAGCAAAACUCUUCUAAGUCCCACUCGUGAAUGGCAAUUAGAGAAAGGACUGACAGUGGCGGUGCCCCAUAGGAUGUCAUAUUGAGGCCCAAACUUGAUUGGAGAAUUUGCAAACUACCGUCGCUCAGCAACACCAAAAAGAGAAAGUCUGGUUAAAACACCAUGAGUCAAAUGUCGGGCCAGCCAACAGUAACACUUGCCAAGAAGCAUGGCGUAGAAAUUUCUAUGUUCCGAAACACAGAGUAGUGUCCACAUGUGAGCUUUUCACAUUACCUUAUGUAUACAACAGGAGCUGCGUUGUUUUCUUCUUUUUCUUUUCCUUUAUCUGUUGUCCAACAACAGUGCUGACUGUCCGGAUAAGAGCUGGCAAGUGCCCUUAGGAUGCCGCAUGGGAAAAAUCGGUUAUCAUAAUUUCAAAGUAUAAAUAUAUUUAUUAAGUAGCGCUGCGGCUAAGAAGGAAGAGUGAGGGGUCUGUCCAUGGGGUGGCAGUGAUUUCACACCCGCCUUUCUUGAAUGGCUUCGUGUUACUCAGCCGUGCCCUGGCAGGAAUGGAACUCCAUCAGGGAACAGGGCAGCUCUGUUUGAAUGGGGUGAAAAACAGCAAAAUUAAUUCUUAGCAAGCUCCUUGUUCUCUACUGUUCACCGGGACCUGGCUGGCAAAUGACUUAGCUAUUAGUAUAUUUAAAAACUGUUCAAAAGCAAAAGAGAAGGAACAGGAAUGAAAGGAAACCUUCCCUUAACUCUUUCUGCUUCCCAUAGCAGGUCUGGUUCCUGCUCCCCGCCUAGGACAGGAGCUGUCUGGAGCUCCACCUUUGCAAAGAAAGGAAAAACACAAAUUGCCCCCAGAUUGGCCCAGUGGCAUGCCAUUAGGUGAUUUUGCAUAGGGGCCAUAUCAUUCAUGGCCAAAAAAA